rnacentral:rRNA from 1 species
GACGAACGCUGGCGGCGUGCCUAACACAUGCAAGUGGAGCGACGAACCAGGGCUUGCCCUGGUGCAAAGCCGCGAACGGGUGAGUAUCACGUGGGUAACCUGCCCCGAUGACCGGGACAACCCGAGGAAACUCGGGCUAAUACCGGAUGUGGUGUUCACACAUAAGUGUGAGCUCCAAAGGAAGCUUCGGCCUCCACAUUGGGAUGGGCCCGCGGCCCAUUAGCUAGUUGGUGAGGUAAUGGCCCACCAAGGCAACGAUGGGUAGCUGGUCUGAGAGGACGAUCAGCCACACUGGGACUGAGACACGGCCCAGACUCCUACGGGAGGCAGCAGUGGGGAAUCUUGCGCAAUGCGCGAAAGCGUGACGCAGCAACGCCGCGUGAGGGAAGAAGGCCUUCGGGUUGUAAACCUCUUUCAGGAGGGACGAAGGCCCGCCGGCGAAUAGCCGUGCGGGUUGACGGUACCUCCAGAAGAAGCCCCGGCUAACUACGUGCCAGCAGCCGCGGUAAAAC